GAUGCAGCCAGCCCUGGGAGCACAGGUGGAAGCAAUUCAACCUCGUGACUGGAAGGGGUGGACCCUGUCUCCAUCCCCUCCUAACCUCAUUUAAGGGCUGGCAGCCACAAGGAAAGGGUGCUUCUGUGGAGAUCCCUCCUUUUGGAGUGUUUAGUGAGCCCUGAUCAUUGGAUGGGUGACCACAAGUCUUCUGCAAGUGCUGAAAAGCAGUUUGCUGCCCCUGCAUCACCAGCUGUGCAGACACGUUUAGUACCUGUGCUCAAUGGACGAGGCUGAUGGGAUCCGGCCCAAAGGUGUAGGUGGGAGAAUCAUUACAAGAUGAUGUGCUGGGCUCUGCUUUAGAAGCUGGGAUUUAUGUUGGAGCUCUUCCUUCUGACCUGGAGCUGCCUUGCAAGCUGCCAUUGCUCUGACUUUCUCAAUGGAACCUCAUGGGUGGUGAAGUGAGUUGGGAAAAUCCAAACCAAAACUGCUUAAAGAGUCACCAACCACCAGACCAGGCUGCCCGGAGCCACAUCCAGCCUGGGAAGAUGAAUGUGAAGAUGGAGAUGUCCUGAAGGAGGCUUCCAAAAGUCUCAGAGAGAACACACUGGUAUCUGAUGAGGCAGUGCAGGAAUUGUUACCCAGAUGAGGCCCGUUCUUGGCUCAACAUUGUUUGAGAUGCCUCUUCUGCCCUGCCUCGUGUUGGAAGAGCCCCUCAUAUCUGUGCCUGCCUCUUCUCCAUGGUGGUUUUAACACCAGGACUGCCACACCGCUCUGGCUGAGGCAACAAGGAAGGCCACAGCCUAACUGUAUUUUAAAUAACCACGUAAUGCUUCAGUAUCUCAACUACUUCUUGUGAAGCAGCUUCUAUCAUAUCUGAAAGAUGAGUUAUAAUUUGGGGAUUGGCCUUGGUGAUCUCCAGAGGUCCCUUUCAACCCUUAUGGUUCUGUGAUUAUCAGUCGUGGGUAAGCAGAACUGGCAGCUGAAUGAGGUACUGGGGCUUAAAUGAUGCACUGAGCUUGGGAAUGGUCUGAGGGCUGGUACACCUCUACAGCAGUGCUUUCUAUUUGUGUUCUUCAAGCACGUUUUUGCUGGAGAACACACAGGGCCACACAGUGAUGGAUGGGGCGUGCUGUCAUUUUGAGUCACCGGCAUUUUGGGAUGGAAUAGGAAAGCUCCUUAAAAGCAGCCAGUGUCACAUUUGCAGCUUCAUUUUCAUGGGCGAAUAUUGCUUUGAGACUAAUGUAAGCUCUAUGUAUUAUUUGGUACUGAAAGUGUGCUAUGGAAUUUCAUUUCAAAGUACUCUCAGGGUCAUUUAUGCACAUAUAAUGGGUGGAUAAGUCAAACAAAGAGCCCUUCUCUGCCACUCUGGGCACCAGGUCACGCUGAGGCAUCCAUGCUGGGAGCCAGAAUAGAUACCAGCACAAGUUUGCUGCUUCACUAUCCUGCUUUCUGCUCCCAAUACCCAUCUGCUCAGCUCUGCUUCUGCAGAGCACGGAGGCAGUGGCUGAGGUUUGUGAUACUGAGGAGGAGGGGAAGGUGGCGCAGUCAAUGGUGAGGGCUGAUGUGUUCUGGGGGCAGCUGGUAGGAAGCUGGCAUCAGUGUGCUCUGUGAGCCCACCCUGAGCUGGCAUUCCAUUGAGAGCCUUUUUAGAGGCUGUGUGUUGUUUUGUCUAAUAGAAAACAAGCUUUGCAAAUGAGCUGCUGAGCACUUUAGCAGGGGGUAUUUUUUUUUUUUGCAUGUUUGCAAUAUUCAGUUCAGGCAUUGACAGCUGUGAACUUCACAAUGAGACUGACACUUGAGAUCUGUGUAAAGGUCAAUUUUUUAAUUGUGCCUUAUAGAUAAAAGAAAUAUCUACAUCAAUAUAGUCUAAUCGCAUUGAUUUCAGCACGGAGUUUUCAAUUAUUAUUCAGAAUUCUCUGUUAUCUCGUUGCAGUCCCACAGCCUUAGCAGGCAGUGCAAUGCUCCAUGAGAUAACCUUUAACUCAUGCUGCUGGGUCAAAAGUGAGUUGUGAUGAGUACUCCCUGCCAUUCCACAGUGAACUGUCUGGGUAAGGAAGGCAUCUGUUGCUGCAGUGCAGAUCACGAUGCACUGAGGAUGCCUUCAGUUCUGAUACGGUAUAUUGGCUGUUUGCAGGUCUGCUGGUGCACAAGAUCUCGAGCCAAGAUCUCUUCCAUGCAGGAAGCUGCACUGCAGGGCAGUGGGAGGAAUGGCUGUGAUUAUCCCAUUACAAAGAGAAGGAUGUCUUAACAUUGGAAUCAUUGCUCGUGUUUUAGAGUGACCUUGUAAAGUAUGGUUCAUCACAGGGGGAUCGAUACUAAAUAAUAAUGCUUCUGCUUAGUUCCAGUAAAUACCUUGGGUUUAUCUAGGAGGUAUCACUCAGCUGUUUCCAACAGCUUCUACGUGAUCAGCUGAAGCCAAAACACAUCUGCUUCUCAUAGGUGUGCCUGUAGGACUCUGCUGUUAGUGGUGUUCAGGGUAGCCAGAGGUACUCCCUGUUGUCUCAGUAGGAAACCUUUCAGUGUAUGAAGGACAAUGUUUCCAUGAAAAUAUCAAUACAAUGGUGGGCACACCUCCAUUGACAGUUCACAGCCCAGUAUUUCCUCCGGGCUGUUGGAGUGUGGUAUAACGUCAAAGGUCUGCCUGUCCCUUGCUGGACAUGGGAUGGAGGUGCUUGGGGCUGCUAUGGGCUGGGCAGCCCAACAUCAUGUAUGUAUAUAUGGCCAGGCAGGAUGUGGCUCUGGGCAGCCUGGUCUGGUGGUUGGUGACCCUGCACGUAGCAGGGGGUUGGAACUGGACGAUCUUUGAGAUCUUUUUCAACCCAGGCCAUUCUAUGAUUCAUUCUUUGAUUCUGUAUAAACAUUAAUACAUACAUGUAUAAAAUAUUAUCACUCUGCAGCUGCAUUUGACGAUCAUCACAGAGCUUGUAUGCAUUCUAAUAAAUUCAUCAAAGGAAAAGAUCAGGCAGGUGCCAAGUGCUGCAAAAUGACCUGGACAAAGAAUGCAGAGGGUUUAGGAGUGCUUUGCAUAAAUAGGAGAAUUAUGUGCUUCACGGAGCAAGCAGUGUUCAGGUUUAAAGACACAGAUGUGUGACAGGCAUUCAGACAGUAAAUUCUGCACCUCCAGUGAUUCUGUGAUAGAAAUGUGUGCCUAUACCUCUGUAUAAUCUGCAACAAUCGAUAAAAUCAAGCAGGUUUUUUAUGAAAACAGUUUUAUUGGAAACUUUUUUAACAGUUUAAGACUCUCUCUUGUAAGUAACUGUCCCUGGACUACUGAGGUGGGUGGAGGGCUCCAUCCCCUCCUGGCAGCCCAGGGCUGAGCCCAUAUCCCUUUCAGGACCUGGCUGCAGCACCUGCUCGCUGCUUGGCAGCCUGACAUGCUUUCUGGUUUGUCCCUUUGGAUAGUGAUACGCUGAUUCAAGCUGUACAGGAGAAACCAACAACUCAACUCUGUAUUGUGAUGAGACUCUCAGUGCUGUAUGGGCAGAAUGGGGAAGCAUUCAAGCGCAUUUCCUUUCUCAGCACGUGGGAUACAGGAGGGCAGCAAAGCGUCAGCUGUGAUGAACCACUCAUGUAUCCUUCUUGUAUCUGCAGGUCAGCUGCUGUUUAUGUUCGUUAGUAAAUUAUGUGCCAACCUCAUCACGUCACCCUGCAAUCACAGUGCUGUGUUCCAUGUGUUCAACCUCCAUACAUUUGUGUUUAUAUUGAGCUAUUGCAUCCUGCUCAGGGGUGAGGGCACCUCUCUGCUGCUGCACAAAUUGGAGAACUUCUGCUUCACCAAAGCUCAUAAUGCCUUCAAGGCAUCGGUUCCUCUCAUAGCAUUUCCCAAUCAAAGUAUUAAAAUGAGAGUUUUAUAUCCAGCCAAUACUCUUCUCAUAGCUGAUAAAGGCAAAUGAGGAAUCAUUUAUAUGAUUUAGGUUAUGAGAAGAGUAUAGGAAGAGAAUAUAAGCAAAGCAUUUAUUUCCCACCUGUAUAGAAAUGAAGCUGCUGUUUCUAAUAAAUCCUACUUGAAAAGAUGGCACUGUUAUGAAAGAACGGAGAGAGAGACCUGAGGCUUUACCUUCGUGCUGCUCCAGCCCCCAGGAGUUCAAGUGGGUUUUCUCUUUCCCAGCCCUUGAAUCAGCAGGCAGAAACUGUGGGUGCUGGCUGAAAGGGGGAGGAUGCUCUGAAGUGAGAUGUAGCUGCACCACAGCCUGGAGGCAGAAGGAGGGCUGUGUGUGCUCAGGGCUGCUGGGGGGGGGGAGGGUGGUUUGGAAAGCAAAACGAUCCUAUUCAACAAUAGAGGAGAAAUUAGGAGCUUGAAAAUAGCAGCAAAUUGGAAUGAAAAGAAUGCCAAUUACCAACUUUGAUCCCUCUUUUCUUUAUUUUUGUUUGAAAGAAAUAUUUUGUGAUAGACACAUCUUGAAGUUUUCCACUUUUCUUUUGUUUUAAGCAGUGGGAGAUUUGGUAAACCUGUCCUUUAUCCUGCAAAUUCCCACCCUGAACCCUUUGUCCUAAAACUUCUGACUAAUUUCUAGGUAUUUUGAAUACUUAAGUUUGAGAAGACGUGGGAACUGACGACUUCUGUCCUCCGAGGAGAUGGCAUGAAUUACUGCAAUUGGAAAAUAAUUAAGAAGCAAUUACAGAAACAAACAGAAAUCCUGUGCGUACAGCCAGGCCAUUAAAAUAUGUUCUCUAAGAAAUUACCACAGCCACGCUGGAAAGAAAAGCAACAUUUAAAUAAAGUUAUGGUUAUAACAAACUAAAAAGGAAGAAAAAACCAAAGCAAUUCGUGCUGGAAAGACAAGCAUGGGCUGCUAUGUGACUGUGCUGCAAACGGGAGUGUGUGCAAGUGGGACACGAGGGGGGAACAGCUUCAUGCCUCCCUUCUCCAGCAAGCAGCACUGUACCAUUGCACCAGUGAAAUAAGUCAUGAGUGACCAAGGGACUUGAAGUGUUCCAUAGUCAGCCAUCAUCUUGCUGCUUGCAGAGUGUGCAGGAGACUGCAUAUGAGCCCAGCAUCAGUCCUGCAGGAGUCAGCAGCCAGGCACAGACUGGCUCCUGGUGCUGCCUGAUGGAGAGUGGCCGCUGGGUGGAAGGAGCUGCUGUUCCCUCCUUUGGACCCAGAGUAACUUUUAAAUCAUUCUGGGAAGAAAGGAAUGGCAUAUUUGGUGUCUCAGAUGUUCCUUGAGCAGUACGACCUGCGCAGAAGUGACGUAUAGUGGACACAAAACAGCUCCUCAAUUAGGGAGACGUAGGGGCAGAAUCACAUCUCCCCAGCAGAACUCAAGAAGUCCUUCUUAGCACUACCACUGCGCAACCGAAGGUAUUUGAUCUGAAGUAUGAAGAAUGAUUUAAUCAGACAGAUUAACCUACCUGGUGCAUCUGAAACACUUCCAUUCCAUCGAAGUCCAUCAACAACAUAGGCUUUAAGUGGAGUUUUAAAAAGUUUAUGAGAAGAAUAUGGAAGGAAUAAGGAGAGUGACAAUUCAGCACGUUUUAGCUCACGUGCUUCUGCAGCAGAAGGUACAGCACUGGGAAGGGGGGCACUGCUGUGACUGACCCCUCCACAGGACCUGGCCACCCCAGAGCAUAUUUUCAAGGACUAAUUUCAAGUGUAUACGUUAUAAAUCUGCAAACUAUCUCUGUGAGCCGUGCAUGCUUUACAUCCCUUCAAUCCCAUUGCCUAAUAUUAGUGAAAGUGACAAGACAUUAACUGCAUAUUAAUUGAAUUUUUCACGGAUGAUUAAAAUACAGAAACUGUGCAACAGAUUUCUCCUUUGAGGUGUAAUAAAAGUGAAGGGGAAAUGAAUAAAUUGCCUAUUUUAGAGAUUUUAUAUAUAGUGCAAAUAGACAUUUUCCUUUUAGACAUCUCACCAGGAAGAAAGC
ensembl:lncRNA